UUUGAUGUGAUGUUCCUUUCCUCGAAUGAUCGAUAGUGAACACGGUGAGCGAUUUUUACUUAAAUUUGAGUAGUGGAAUUCAAGCCAGGAUUCUUUCUUU